CCCAGCCCACAGGUGCUCAGGCCCCAGGCCAGGGCAGACUCAGUAAAGAGUCCGGUGGGCAGGUGGGAGGUGGGAAGGGGGUGUCACGGCCCAGUGUCUGGCCUUUCCAGGGAUGGGGACCAGGCCUUGACGGAGGCUGGAUGUGGUCAGGUGGGGCCUGGGCAGCAGGGCAUGACUCCAUGGGGGGCACAUGUGGCACCUGGCAGGAGGUGGAGCUGCAUCUGAGCAGAGCACACAGGAGCCUGUGUCCCUGCAUGUGGGUUGGUGCCCAUGAGGCCAGCACGUGCCUGGAGCAGCCAAGCGGGUUCCAGGACUCAAGAGGCAGCCAGGCUCAGCGAGCAAGACAAGGUUGCCUCCUGAGGACAGAGGAGGCCCAGCCAACCCAACAGAUACCCCCAGACAGAAGGUCCCAGACUCACCUAAGAACCCAGACAGAGGGUCCCAGACUCAGCUAAGACACCCCCAGACAGAGGGUCCCAGACUCACCUGAGAAAUACCCCCAGACAGAGGGUCCCAGACUCACCUAAGACACCCCCAGACAGAGGGUCCCAAACUCACCUCAGAGACACCCCCAGACAGAGGGUCCCAAACUCACCUCAGAGACACCCCCAGACAGAGGGUCUCAGCCAACCCAACAGACACCCCCAGACAGAAGGUCCCAGACUCACCUAAGACACCCCCAGACAGAGGGUCCCAGACUCACCUAAGACACCCCCAGACAGAGGGUCCCAAGCUCACCUCAGAGACACCCCCAGACAGAGGGUCCCAGACUCAGCUAAGACACCCCCAGACAGAGGGUCCCAGACUCACCUGAGAAAUACCCCCAGACAGAGGGUCCCAG
rnacentral:lncRNA from 1 species